GGGCCCUAAAUGUGUUGGGCUGAUAUAUAGCCCACAGUUUAUUGGGCCCACUUGAGGACCAAACAUUAGCUCUUUAGGCCCAUUUUUUAGGCCCAGUCGUUGGGGAAGCCCGACGAUGGCGAGCAGUCCGCCGCAACAGCCGACGACGGCGGCGGGAGGCGCCGGCGUUCUUCCCGCCGCCGGCGCGCGCGGUGCCCGUCGCCCUGGACGCGAUCCUGUCGCGGCGCGUGGGAGCUCGGUUUCCCGCCGCCGACGAUGUCUCCCUCUGCCCGCCUCGCCGCGCCGCGCCUCGCCGCGCAUCCGAGGACGGGGACAAGCCCAAUCAAUGCCCUGCCGUGGCGGCCUCGCCGCCGGCCACCUCUGCAACCUCGCUUCUCCUGGUAAGAAACCAUUUAGUCUGACUUGCCUGACAACUUCGACAACAAUGCUUAGCACACUGAAGUUGAGGGGGUCUUCUUUGAGCUUUCUUCUCUCGGUGAUGCAGAUGGCAAUGACAAAGAUGGUCAGGUAGGAGAGUUGUGACAAAAGUGUACUCUCGAGCAGUCUGAUUCCCUGGUUCUCUGCAUUACUAUCCUUAGUAGUGGAAUUCUCUUCAAAUGGGAACCACGUCGUGUACGGAGGUAGAUACCUGGAGGCAAGAUGAAGCAGAAUAUGAGACAACAAACGCUGCUUAACGAAAUGCGAUCAGAAAGUCACCCUUGGGUGGAUUAUCAUCUUCGGAUGUUCAAAAGCAGAUCAUUAUUGAGAAAUAAUUCAGGGAAGGAGUUGCAGCUCUGCUUGUCUAAGGUUUGAUCUUUCAGGUGACGUGCAAGAACAUUCUGGUGCUUGGUUAUAUUCUCUGUAAAUGAUGCGACAAUAAGAUGAAAACAAUGGCUCAACUGACUGGAAGCUUGGAUUCACAAGCAUAUGGCCUUGAGAGAACAAUAUGGGAACAACUGCUGGCCGGUGAAGAAAUUCCUUUGCACGCGCUACGACAAUCGGCAGGAGAUAUCACCCUGCUUUAGCCAUGCAGGUCAUUUUCAGAGGCACACAUCCCAGUUCCUAAACCAGGCUGCAAAAGUUGACGAAUGACGACUACUGUGCUCCACUAUUUUGUACUCCAUGCAUCAACUGGGGAAAGAUGGCGAAUUUUAUGGAAUUGCAUGUGAAAAUUGAGCCAUAAUCAUCUGGAAGAACCAAAGAUUGGAACAAAUUCUAGCAACUAUGCGCCUCCCAUUUUGACAUGAACAAAAUUAGAAGUAAUAGUCAUCAACCUCCCAGGUGACCAGAUUUGCUGAGAACGCGGAGAGCAUAUUCUCAGGUUGACAGAAGGUGUGGCAUGUGAUGCAUGCAGGCUUUUGAAUGGAGACUUGGAAUAUUAAUACUCCUACCUUUCAGCAAAUUGAUUGUGGUGUUCUUGCAAGUUGAAGUGGUGUGCUGCGUUGUGGUUUCUGUGAAGCUAGGAGGAGAGCUAUCCUUUUCUUCUUUGGCAAAAAUAAAAAAAAAUCUGUCAAAAAUCUAGGAGAAAGGGUCAACGCACGGUCAACUCCUACCUAUGGUCACGAACUGGGAAAUGGGACAGUGUUUUGACGUUUGAAACUACUCUCCAUCACAUGCAUCUACCUACCUAAGGCCAUUCUCAACCCAAUAAUUAGGAUGAUGUCCAUAGCAUUAAAUAAGUUGCUACUUAGGACAAAAAAUAAUAUGCAAGUGAAUAAAUGAGGAAAGAGAGACAUGGUUUCUACACAACAUCCAAGACAUCAUGUGAGAUAAGUAGCAUUAAAUUGAAGUAUGAAAUAGUGGUGUUUGCAUUGGAAGAGUAGUGUCUAGUACUUCUUGAUGAUGUAGAGUUUAUGGAAACCAUGUCUAGUGUUAUGGGUUGGGACUGUCCUACCACAGAAAAGAAACAUGUGUCCUCUUGCUGUGGCCGAUGAGCAAAUUAAUUAGGAUACGAAGAAUUAUUGACGAGUUUAUAGUGUUUUGAUGUGCUUUUGUCCGUGACUAUUACGUACGGAGAAGGGAAGAACCGAAGAAGAUUCCAUUGCAGAAGAGAACCCACUUGCCACCGGCCGUUACAUCUCCUAUCAUCACUCGUUCACUAUUAGUACUUGUAAUUUAAUUUGUCAUUAUGAUAUGACCAUCCGAUAUUUUACUCAAUAAUUCAAGUGGUUUUGCAGUUUCCA